CACGCAGGCGGUCUGUCAAGUCUGAUGUGAAAGCCCACGGCUCAACCGUGGAGGGUCAUUGGAAACUGGAGAACUUGAGUACAGAAGAGGAAAGCGGAAUUCCACGUGUAGCGGUGAAAUGCGUAGAGAUGUGGAGGAACACCAGUGGCGAAGGCGGCUUUCUGGUCUGUAACUGACGCUGAGGCGCGAAAGCGUGGGGAGCAAACAGGAUUAGAUACCCUCGUA
rnacentral:rRNA from 1 species